UAAUAUCGAUGACUUCUAGCCCUCAAGCUUCAUCUGGUGCUUCUAGCAUGCAGCUUGUACCUCUUGCUAACAAUCCUAUCCUUGAGAAAAAGGCAGCUGUCUAUGCUGAAGUUGUAAAGAAUCUGAAUGAUGCAAGAGAACGUGGAUUACCAUUUAAACAUGCGAUAGCUUUCAAGGGUGCUUAUGUCUUUAAUUAUUGGUGCAAGGCGCCAUCUUGAGCGGGGUCAUGAAAAAUAUGUAGUGGAUACUAUCCAAAGUCAUCCUGCCCAGCUAAGCAAAUCAACCUCACAACAAAGACAAGUGCACAAUUGAAUGGAUGAUGAAUUGGAGGGUGGAGCAAGCUUCAUGGUUUACUUUUUGUGUAUCUUAUUAUGUUUCUGUUUUUUACUUUUGAAGCAAAAGAUGUGCAAGACUAUAGAAUUUUAUUAUGUAUGCUUUCAAACUCAAGUUAGAACUAUGAACUUUUGAAGUGGACAGUGUCAUGGUUUGAAGUAGUUCGUCUUCAAAUGUAAAAAUACUCAUGGUUUAUCA